rnacentral:rRNA from 1 species
GUCGCCGGUACCCGGUCCCCCCCUAAACAAGGGGGCCCGGGGAAGGUCCUCUCACACCCUUGUGUACCUUACCAUGUUGCUUUGGCGGGCCGACCCGGUUUCGACCCGGGCGGCCGGCGCCCCCAGCCCUCACCGGCCAGGACGUCAGGCUAAGCGCCCGCCAGUAUACAAAACUCAAGCGAUUAUUUCGUGUAGUCUGAUAAAUCAUUCAAUUAUUAAAACUUUCAACAAUGGAUCUCUUGGUUCCGGCAUCGAUGAAGAACGCAGCGAAAUGCGAUAAGUAAUGUGAAUUGCAGAAUUCCGUGAAUCAUCGAAUCUUUGAACGCACAUUGCGCCCUCUGGUAUUCCGGAGGGCAUGCCUGUUCGAGCGUCAUUUCAACCCUCAAGCUCUGCUUGGUAUUGGGCGACGUCCGCUGCCGGACCUGCCCGAAAGGCAGCGGCGACGUCCGUCUGGUCCUCGAGCGUAUGGGGCUCUGUCACUCGCUCGGGAGGGACCUGCGGGGGUUGGUCGGACAAUCGACCUUCGGUCUAUUCUUCCAAGGUUGACCUCGGAUCAGGUAGGGAUACCCGCUGAACUUAA